UAAGGAAUAUUGGUCAAUGGACGCAAGUCUGAACCAGCCAUGCCGCGUGGAGGAUGAAGGUCCUCUGGAUUGUAAACUUCUUUUAUCUGGGAAGAAAUCCAUAUUUUCUAAUGUGGUUGACGGUACCAGAUGAAUAAGCACCGGCUAAUUCCGUGCCAGCAGCCGCGGUCAUACGGAAGAUCCAAGCGUUAUCCGGAAUUACUGGGCGUAAAGAGUUGCGUAGGUGGCAUAGUAAGCAGAUAGUGAAAUGAUGCGGCUCAACCGCAUGUCCAUUAUCUGAACUGCUAAGCUAGAGUAUAUGAGAGGUAGCUGGAAUUCCUAGUGUAGGAGUGAAAUCCGUAGAUAUUAGGAGGAACACCGAUGGCGUAGGCAGGCUACUGGCAUAUUACUGACACUAAGGCACGAAAGCGUGGGGAGCGAA
rnacentral:rRNA from 1 species